UACUUUUGAGAGAUAAGUUUCUGAAGUCCA
rnacentral:piRNA from 1 species